UCCCUCUGUUCCUCUUUUUGCGGAAGCAACUUUUUCUACCUCCUUCUCGUCUACAGAAGUGUCUGUUCUCUCUCCGUCACUCUGUCGGUAGCUUUCGCGUCGACUGGCCAGAGUCCGCGAGCUGUUCUCUCCAGUCAUCUCUCCUUCCGUAUCAUCCCUCCAUCUCAGGGAACUACAGAGGCCUCUCAUUGGCUCAUCUCACUUCCUGUUUCUGCAUUGUCCCGAUUUGGUUAUGUCUUACCACAGCUUCUUGCUCGAGCCAAUCAGCUGCCACUCCUGGAACAAGGACCGGACCCAGAUUGCUCUGUGUCCCAACAACCAUGAUGUCCACAUCUAUAAGAAGGACGGGACCAAGUGGACCAAGAUUCAUGAACUGAAGGAGCAUUGACGGACAGGUCACAGGUAUAGACUGGGCUCCAGAGAGUAACCGUAUCGUGACCUGUGGGACGGAUCGUAACGCGUAUGUCUGGUCUCUGAAGGGGGAGGUGUGGAAGCCCACCCUGGUCAUCCUCCGUAUCAACCGGGCUGCUCGCUGUGUCAGCUGGUCUCCCAAGGAGAACAAGUUCGCUGUGGGUAGCGGGUCACGCCUCAUAUCCAUCUGCUACUUUGAACAGGAGAAUGACUGGUGGGUCUGUAAGCACAUCAAGAAGCCGAUCCGUUCCACCGUCCUCAGUCUGGACUGGCAUCCUAACAACGUGCUGCUGGCGGCUGGAUCCUGUGACUUCAAAUGCAGAUCUGUGUGUAUUCUGGUAUCAGUAGAGGGAGGCAAGACCAGCACGAUCAGCAGUCUGAGCUCUGAGACCCUUCCUCUGCUGUGUGUCAGCUUUAUCACUGAGAACAGCCUGGUGGCCGCUGGUCAUGACUGCUACCCAGUGCUGUUUGUGUAUGACGGUACUAAGGGCUCAGUAACGUUCGGAGGGAAGCUGGACGUUCCCAAGCAGACGUCUCAGAGAGGGAUCAGCGCCAGGGAACGCUUCCAGAACCUGGACCGCCGAGCCACCUCGUCUGAGACCACCGAGCAGGGCCUGGAGAGUCUGCACAAGAACAGCAUCAGUCAGAUCUCUGUGCUGGAAGGAGGGAAGAGUAAAUGUUCCACGUUCUGUACAACUGGGAUGGACGGAGGUAUGGUCACCUGGGACGUCAAGAGUCUGGAGUCUGCCCUGAAGGAUCUCAAGAUAGUCUGAUACCAUGACCCUCAGCCGACCAGCCGACCAGCCGGGAUAUGAAGAAAUCUCACCUCUUUUGCCUUUCUGCUUCUCUGCGUCUGUCUGUCUCAGCUGCUGCUGGAGACAUCUCCUUUCUGUCUGUCUCUGUUGAGCAUCUGCUCGAAGCACGGCAGCCAUGACAACGACGUCUGCGUUCCACAUGGCACCCUGUUCUUUUAUAUAGUAGACCAGGACCCAUAGGACACCAUGUGAGACACAUCUUGUUUGUUUUGUUCUAUCUUACAUUUACAUUUACAUUUAAGUCAUUUAGCAGAUCUUCUUAUCAUCUUUGUUUUAGAAUCCAGAAUCCAGGAAAUGCUUUGUGAGCGAUGUUGUUCUGUUCUGUCAGGUGUUCUAUACUGAUAGUUAUUUUAUAUUGGUAGACCAGGACCCAUAGGACACCAUUAGAACAAAAACCAAGAUGUGUCUCAAUCUUCUUAUCUUCUUUGUUUUAGAAUCCAGGAAAUGCUUUGUUCUGUUCUGUCAGGUGUUCUAUACUGAUAGUUGUACCUGGACAUACAGCUGUGUUCUUAAUAUAUACGGCACGAUUCACUUUGGCUACUGGAAUUAGUUUACUUGGAUUUUAAGUUUUGAUGUUCACACAUGAAUUUGUUGGAUUUACAGCACAGGACCAAGAAGAAAAUAAUAUCUAAACUUGAGAUUUUUCACAUCAAAUUUUUAAAAAAUAAAAUCGAAUGGACUAAUAAAAAGAUGACAGUUUUUGAUACUGCAGUAAGUGCAGUCAGUCGACUGUGGUAUUUUGGACGUAGUAAUUUCAGAAUAACUGCAGUUAAACUGCACGCUGACCGCAUAAUUAAUUUUCAUAACGGAAAUGAUUCCGAAUUGUAAUUUAAUUUGGUUGGAGGCAGGUGAUUUAGUUUACUGUGUGAUGUAUUAUAUCUGUGGUAAGUUGCAGGUGCCUACAGGGUUAAAAAAACAAAACAAAAAGCCAUUCAAACCAGUUUUGAAAAGUGGAAACAGGACAUUCUGCUCCGAUGAACUCCGUUAUCAAGUUGUCGAUAUAUUAGAGCGCAACUGUUCGCCAAAGGACUUAUUAUAGUAGGAGUGGAAGGCUACAGCAGGUAUAUAUAAUCAUGAAGAAAAGCCAAGCAGCGGUACCUGUUAAAAUGCUUAUGCUGGUCAUAAUAUUGCAUUUUAAUAAAUGAUUUACUAUCAUA